UGGGGAAUAUUGCACAAUGGGGGAAACCCUGAUGCAGCAACGCCGCGUGAGUGAUGAAGGCCUUCGGGUUGUAAAGCUCUGUCUUCAGGGACGAUAAUGACGGUACCUGAGGAGGAAGCCACGGCUAACUACGUG
rnacentral:rRNA from 1 species